UGGCAGUCAGAGGCGAUGAAGGACGUGCUAAUCUGCGAUAAGCGUCGGUAAGGUGAUAUGAACCGUUAUAACCGGCGAUUUCCGAAUGGGGAAACCCAGUGUGAUUCGUCACACUAUCAUUAACUGAAUCCAUAGGUUAAUGAGGCGAACCGGGGGAACUGAAACAUCUAAGUACCCCGAGGAAAAGAAAUCAACCGAGAUUCCCCCAGUAGCGGCGAGCGAACGGGGAGCAGCCCAGAGCCUGAAUCAGUGUGUGUGUUAGUGGAAGCGUCUGGAAAGGCGUGCGAUACAGGGUGACAGCCCCGUACACAAAAAUGCACAUACUGUGAGCUCGAUGAGUAGGGCGGGACACGUGGUAUCCUGUCUGAAUAUGGGGGGACCAUCCUCCAAGGCUAAAUACUCCUGACUGACCGAUAGUGAACCAGUACCGUGAGGGAAAGGCGAAAAGAACCCCGGCGAGGGGAGUGAAAAAGAACCUGAAACCGUGUACGUACAAGCAGUGGGAGCACGCUUAGGCGUGUGACUGCGUACCUUUUGUAUAAUGGGUCAGCGACUUAUAUUCUGUAGCAAGGUUAACCGAAUAGGGGAGCCGAAGGGAAACCGAGUCUUAACUGGGCGUUAAGUUGCAGGGUAUAGACCCGAAACCCGGUGAUCUAGCCAUGGGCAGGUUGAAGGUUGGGUAACACUAACUGGAGGACCGAACCGACUAAUGUUGAAAAAUUAGCGGAUGACUUGUGGCUGGGGGUGAAAGGCCAAUCAAACCGGGAGAUAGCUGGUUCUCCCCGAAAGCUAUUUAGGUAGCGCCUCGUGAAUUCAUCUCCGGGGGUAGAGCACUGUUUCGGCAAGGGGGUCAUCCCGACUUACCAACCCGAUGCAAACUGCGAAUACCGGAGAAUGUUAUUACGGGAGACACACGGCGGGUGCUAACGUCCGUCGUGAAGAGGGAAACAACCCAGACCGCCAGCUAAGGUCCCAAAGUCAUGGUUAAGUGGGAAACGAUGUGGGAAGGCCCAGACAGCCAGGAUGUUGGCUUAGAAGCAGCCAUCAUUUAAAGAAAGCGUAAUAGCUCACUGGUCGAGUCGGCCUGCGCGGAAGAUGUAACGGGGCUAAACCAUGCACCGAAGCUGCGGCAGCGACGCUUAUGCGUUGUUGGGUAGGGGAGCGUUCUGUAAGCCUGUGAAGGUGUGCUGUGAGGUAUGCUGGAGGUAUCAGAAGUGCGAAUGCUGACAUAAGUAACGAUAAAGCGGGUGAAAAGCCCGCUCGCCGGAAGACCAAGGGUUCCUGUCCAACGUUAAUCGGGGCAGGGUGAGUCGACCCCUAAGGCGAGGCCGAAAGGCGUAGUCGAUGGGAAACAGGUUAAUAUUCCUGUACUUGGUGUUACUGCGAAGGGGGGACGGAGAAGGCUAUGUUGGCCGGGCGACGGUUGUCCCGGUUUAAGCGUGUAGGCUGGUUUUCCAGGCAAAUCCGGAAAAUCAAGGCCGAGGCGUGAUGACGAGGCACUACGGUGCUGAAGCAACAAAUGCCCUGCUUCCAGGAAAAGCCUCUAAGCAUCAGGUAACAUCAAAUCGUACCCCAAACCGACACAGGUGGUCAGGUAGAGAAUACCAAGGCGCUUGAGAGAACUCGGGUGAAGGAACUAGGCAAAAUGGUGCCGUAACUUCGGGAGAAGGCACGCUGAUACGUAGGUGAAGCGACUUGCUCGUGGAGCUGAAAUCAGUCGAAGAUACCAGCUGGCUGCAACUGUUUAUUAAAAACACAGCACUGUGCAAACACGAAAGUGGACGUAUACGGUGUGACGCCUGCCCGGUGCCGGAAGGUUAAUUGAUGGGGUUAGCGCAAGCGAAGCUCUUGAUCGAAGCCCCGGUAAACGGCGGCCGUAACUAUAACGGUCCUAAGGUAGCGAAAUUCCUUGUCGGGUAAGUUCCGACCUGCACGAAUGGCGUAAUGAUGGCCAGGCUGUCUCCACCCGAGACUCAGUGAAAUUGAACUCGCUGUGAAGAUGCAGUGUACCCGCGGCAAGACGGAAAGACCCCGUGAACCUUUACUAUAGCUUGACACUGAACAUUGAGCCUUGAUGUGUAGGAUAGGUGGGAGGCUUUGAAGUGUGGACGCCAGUCUGCAUGGAGCCGACCUUGAAAUACCACCCUUUAAUGUUUGAUGUUCUAACGUGGACCCGUGAUCCGGGUUGCGGACAGUGUCUGGUGGGUAGUUUGACUGGGGCGGUCUCCUCCUAAAGAGUAACGGAGGAGCACGAAGGUUGGCUAAUCCUGGUCGGACAUCAGGAGGUUAGUGCAAUGGCAUAAGCCAGCUUGACUGCGAGCGUGACGGCGCGAGCAGGUGCGAAAGCAGGUCAUAGUGAUCCGGUGGUUCUGAAUGGAAGGGCCAUCGCUCAACGGAUAAAAGGUACUCCGGGGAUAACAGGCUGAUACCGCCCAAGAGUUCAUAUCGACGGCGGUGUUUGGCACCUCGAUGUCGGCUCAUCACAUCCUGGGGCUGAAGUAGGUCCCAAGGGUAUGGCUGUUCGCCAUUUAAAGUGGUACGCGAGCUGGGUUUAGAACGUCGUGAGACAGUUCGGUCCCUAUCUGCCGUGGGCGCUGGAGAACUGAGGGGGGCUGCUCCUAGUACGAGAGGACCGGAGUGGACGCAUCACUGGUGUUCGGGUUGUCAUGCCAAUGGCACUGCCCGGUAGCUAAAUGCGGAAGAGAUAAGUGCUGAAAGCAUCUAAGCACGAAACUUGCCCCGAGAUGAGUUCUCCCUGACCCUUUAAGGGUCCUGAAGGAACGUUGAAGACGACGACGUUGAUAGGCCGGGUGUGUAAGCGCAGCGAUGCGUUGAGCUAACCGGUACUAAUGAACCGUGAGGCUUAACCUU
rnacentral:rRNA from 1 species